AGAUCAGACAUGGACUCCACCU
rnacentral:miRNA from 1 species